rnacentral:rRNA from 1 species
CAGCAGUGGGGAAUUUUCCGCAAUGGUCGAAAGCCUGACGGAGCAAUGCCGCGUGGAGGUGGAAGGCCUACGGGUCGUCAACUUCUUUUCUCGGAGAAGAAACAAUGACGGUAUCUGAGGAAUAAGCAUCGGCUAACUCUGUGCCAG